CAUACUACCAUGUGACUGGAAUAAUUUGUCUGACACCUUUAUUGUCUUCUCGUAAAUAGCCUUUACAAUUAGUAAUUGUACAAUUUAAAGCGUAGGUAGGUCAUGCGAUACGCCAAAUCUUCGUAGUGUACUAGCUCCAGCAGAAGGCGCCAUAUCCGUACCUGAAAAUCUGCACCCCAGAGCCUGACUGGCAGAGGACCUGAGCCCUAGGACCAUGCUUCAGGACUACCUGGCAUGAUGACUCCUUGCUGUCCCCAGUCCACCUGGCCGUGCUGCUGCUCUAGUUUCAACUGUCCUGCC